CGUUUCGAUCCGACAAGACUACAUAAUUUUGUAACGUGUUAUAAUACUAUAAUAUUGAUUUCAAUGUUUCGAUUAGUAAUGAUUUUUGCAAAAAUCACCUAACCCAUAUAGGCCUCUAAGAUUUGCUUACGUGUUAGAUAACUAUAACUUUAUAUAUCUUCAAACGGAAAAGAUCCGGUGAAGAUGCUUUUCUAAGGAUAUGAGAGAUUCUGUGAUUGUGUCCGUUCAUCGUUCAUCAUACAUAUUACGGUCAGAAAUCAUUUAAAAUUUAAAAUUUAAAAUUAAAUAUAAAUAGUAUCUAACGAAAACUAACAGCACUUUGUACGAUGAAUGGACACGAUCACGGGAUUUCCCGGAUUCCUAGGAAAAUGAUCCAAUCCUUUUCCUCUUCAAACGAUAGAAUUUGUUAGAUUAGUUGUUAGAUUAGCCACCGACAAAGUUCGAACCACGCCGUCAUACAAAAACUCAAUAUCUUUCCACCACUAUGAUAAAAUACCACUCGCUAUAACUUUAUAUAUUUAUUUUCGAGUAAUUGCACACUUUUUCUUCACAUAUAUGAUAAACAGUUAACUGUUGUUAAUCACUUGUAAGUGUCCAAACAUACAUUCAAUCAACUUAUUAGGUGGUACGGUAUGUCUAAUUGGAGGUGACACACCCUCGUUAUUUUUAUCUUUCUAA
rnacentral:lncRNA from 1 species